rnacentral:lncRNA from 1 species
ACUGCCCUCUCCCGGAAUCCUGAUGGAAAGGGGACGGGUUUCCGCAGGGAAUGAGGGCGUGGCCACGCAUGCUCUCCCAAGAGGCCGCCUCGUGUGUGCACUGCCUGGCUUUUCGAAGUAACACGUGGGCUUUGAGACUUAGGCCUCAUAUCUCAAAAGUACUGAAUGACCCGGUCAUUCAGUCCUUAGACCUUCUGUCUCUGUCGGGUUUCAGCCCCAGUCUUGAGUGCCAGAGGCAAAGAAAUAAAAAUAAAGCCCUUAUUCCUGGGAGAAAAGCCACCUGCAGGAGUCCUGCACUGGAGACCUCUGUUUUGUGACAUCCCCUGGGCGGACAGUCCAGUCUGGGUGGUGUUAUGGAUCUUGACACUGCUUGAAAGCUGUACUUUGUUGCUGACAUAAGGGAAGGGUAACUUUCUGGGUGGCACUUAGGCCUGUUUCCGGUCUCUGAGCGACCUUCGGUUCUGAGUCGUGAUCAGAUCUCCAUUUAAUGAGCUCGAGCCUCCAAAGGGCUUAGAAAGCCAGCAGUAACUAAUGAUGAAGUGCAAUGUCUUCCUGUAAGACCUUCUGCCUGAACUUCAUUGAAGAAUAAUGGCAUCUUCCUCUUCCUUCAUCCCUUAACACAGGAGCCCAUCGAGUGUCCACAUGCACAGAGGAGUCACUUGUCCGCUGACAGCCAUGGCUUUGCAGUAAACGCCAAGGCAUAGAUGCUUCCAUCCCGUAAGCAAGAGCGAGACCUGGAAAUAGCCAGAGACCUAGGUGUGAAGUACAGGCUGUUCUGUUGGUAACAGAAAGGCAUCUCUGCAUCUCCUUCUUAAUUAAUGUCCCUUCUUGUUAUAGAAAUAAAUCUUAUGCUUGUGUGAAACUCAUACUGUAGAGGAGUCCUCCUGCCCUUACUCUGGCUUUAACUCCUUCCCACACAAAGUAACCUACUUCAUUUGCAGUCCAGGAGAGAUCCUUCAGUUUUGCUGCAUUUCUCAAUUAAGUACAGUAUGCAUCAGGCAGCAGAUUUUCUGUACCAAUGAAGUUACACUUUGCACAUUGUUCUAGAAAACACAUCACACAAUGAGAUGGUUAUCUCAUUUGUCACUUGUCUGUGUCUUUAAACAAUUUAAAGUAAAACGCUUGUGGUUCAUCUUUACCUCUUACAAAUAAUCGAAAAUAAAAUGCUACACAUGGUGUCA